UACUGCUAGCUUCCUGGCCCUAACCUUG
rnacentral:sRNA from 1 species